rnacentral:rRNA from 1 species
UACGUAGGGUGCAAGCGUUGCCCGGAUUUAUUGGGCGUAAAGGGCGCGUAGGCGGCUCGGCACGUCCGUUGUGAAAUCGCCCGGCUCAACUGGGCGGGGUCAGCGGAUACGGUCGAGCUUGAGCAAGCUAGGGGGCAAUGGAAUUCCCGGUGUAGUGGUGGAAUGCGUAGAUAUCGGGAGGAACACCAGUGGCGAAGGCGGUUACCUGGAGCUUUGCUGACGCUGAUGCGCGAAAGCGUGGGGAGCGAGUCCGG